AAAGCCAUGAAGUCACCCCAAGUUCAAACCCAAAAUGCAAUUUGCAGUGGUUAGAAAUGACAAAGGAUGGGUGGUAGGAUCCAGAGAAUAAAACAGUGAAACCCAAUGGACCUUAAAUAGAUCUGAGGGCACUGAUUUGAUUAUUUUCGGUGAAAUCUUUUAAGAAAAUUGUGCCAGAUUCUUCACAGAAAAUUUGGUAGAGCCUAUGUUUCAUCACUGGCCUAGCAAAGGCAAGCUGGCUAACAGGGAAACAAGGAGAACUGUGUGCUCAGCCCUCCAGAGUGGCACGGAUUAUGAGGAGGUGAUGGUCCUUCCCUGCCAAGAUCCUGAGACACUGUCACUCUGGAAUCCACAAAGAGAUUCAGAUACUGUGAAAGGAUUUGAGAGUUUUUUUGCGAAUCCAAAGAUGGCAUUUACAAAAGGUGGAGAAGCAGUUCCCUAUUGAGGGACAUGCAUACAAAAAGCGGAUGACAACACAUCCCAUAGAGUUCCCAGGGAAGAAUGAACCCAGAUUCUUGACCUGCAGAGGUGGUGUACUGCCUGGAGAAAUCACUGGCUGGCAACCGUGCUAUUCUAUCUGUCCACCUAACUGUGGGCUCCCAGAUCACCACUGCUAUGGGUAGGGGGCUGUAUGGUGGGCCUGCUCGGGCUGACAGGCUAGCUGUGCUCCCAUACCAGAGGUGGGAGAAGGAAAUCACAUCUGGUGUGCAGCUAUGUCGUGCCAGGCACUGUGCUGUGUAUUGCACACAUCUCAAACCUUGUGACAAACAUGUAAGGUAUUUUUUUACAUAUUACAAAUGAAGGAACUGGGCUCAGAAAAGCUGCAUUAUUUGCCCAAAUUGCAGCAGUAAUGCUGAAUCCAGGUUAAUCUGACUCCACAACCCAUGUUCUUUUCACUACAUUCCCAUAUCCUUGUUCCCCCUACUGUCCUCACUGGUCAAGGUGAGCUUGGUCUUCCACAAACAGGCUAGAAAAGUAUGCUUACUUAUCUUUAACUUUAUGCUUUUAAACUAAUUCUUACAAAAUCUUCUCCAGAUAAGUCAAAGACAAUGGGAAUGUAUAUUUCUAAUACAUUAAUUAUACUACAUUAUUGGUUUAC